CUGCUCAGUGAGUGGGAGGGCUGGUACCUUCUCUUGUUUCUGAGACCCAGGUAGCAAAGGAGUUUGAGUUUGCAGUUGGAAUCAAAGGCUCUCCAACAAGGAAACAACUAAAUACUUUUUCAAACGUAAUGUUCAACACACAGUAAUAAAUAACCAAGCAAAUGAGGAAUGAAGACAACAUUCAAAGAACAGCACAAACAAGAAGUAACAGAAAGAUAUUCAUGGUCAUUAUUGACAGUGGGAUUACCAGGCACUCUAAAGCAACAUUAUAAUAUACUCAAGAAAACAAAGACCUGGCCGGGUGUGGUGGCUCACGCCUGUAAUCCCAGCACUUUGGGAGGCCGAGGUGGGCGGAUCACCUGAGGUCAGGAGUUCGAGACCAACCUGGUCAGUAUGGUGAAACCCCACCUCUACUAAAAAUACAAAAAUUAGCCAGGUGUGGUGGCAGGCACCUGUAAUCCCAGUUACUCAGGAAGCUGAGGCAGGGGAAUGGAAUCGCUUGAACCCGGGAGGUGAAGCUUGCGGUGAGGAGAGAUUGUGCCAUUGCACUCUAGCCUGGGCAACAGAGCAAGACUCCGUCUCAAAAACAAAAACAAAAACAAACAAAGAAAGUAAAGGCCAAACUUGAAAUUUGUUGGCAAGGAUUGGAAAUUGGAAGCUAUAAAAAGUAAUUGUCCACAUUUGAUAGAGAACCUCUAGAAACACUCUAAUUAAAAAUAUAAUAACCAAAAUCAAGAUCUCAAUGAUGUAUUUAGCAGCAAAUAAAUACAGUUAAUGAAAGAACUAGGAGAAAGGUCAAAAGCAACUAUCCAGACUUAACUCAGGAAAAAGCAUGAAAAUUCAGAGGAGUCAGAGACAUAUGCAGUUUGAUCAGCAUGUAUGCUAAAUGUGUACCUAUUCAAAUGGGAUCCCCAAUGGAGAGAAGAGAGUGAGCAUUUGAAAAGAUAAUGGUUGAGAAUUCCCCCAAACAGAUAAAAAUCCUACGAAUCUCAAGCAGCAUAAAUAAAAUGUACUCAUACCUAGACAUAUCAUAGUCCAAUUUCAGAAGACCAAAAUCAAAGAGAAAAAUUUUAAAAGCAGACAAGUGACAAUAGACAGAAGCAACAAUUAGAAUGCUGGUAAACCAGGUGCAGUGGUGCCUGCCUGUAGUCCAAGCUACUCAAGAGGCUGAGGCGGGUGGGAGGAUUGCUUGAGGCCAGGAGUUCGAGGCUGCAGUGAGCUAUGAUUGCACCUGUGACUAGCCAUGGCACUCCAACCUGGGCAACACUGUGAGACCCUCAUCUCCAAGAACAAAAAGAAUGACAGCAGACUUCUCAAAAAUGAUAACAGAAAUAAGAAAAUAGUAGAAUGAUAUUUUCAAUUUGGCCAAUCUAGAAUUCUACACCUAGUAAAAAUAUUUUUCAGUAAUCAUGGUAAAAUAAAGUCAGUGAAAUAAAAACUGAAAGAAGCUGCCACCAAGAGACCUGCACUAAAGGAAAUUCUGACAGAUAUUCUUUGGGUAAAGAGAAGAUCCCAGAUGAAAGCUUGGAGAUGAAGGAAAAAUUGAAGAGGAAUGAAAAUGGAAACAACACAGGUGUGUUCCUGCAAGACCUCUCUUUCCCUAGGGGAAAACAGAGACAUCUCAUCACAGAUAGCUCUAGGUUUGCCUUGGCCAUGAUGUCCAAGUGGUCUGCUUGGUUCCAUGCCUGCGUCUGAGCUGGCUCUGUGGGAGGUGCCAAGCUGCCUUCGACACUGUGCAUGGCACUUUAAAGCUCUCAAUAAAUAUUUUUCAAGUGAAGUCAAUGAAGCAAGAAAGAAUCUCAACUAGUUUUGAGUUUUGGUUGAAGAGAAGGCUCACAGAGGCUCAGGGAAGCCCUCAGGUUUCAUGGGGACAGCCUGAAGAAUGACCUUCAUAUAAUGGCCACACAGCCACUUGGGCCACCGGAGCUCACCGUGAGACACACUCACCAUCUCGUCUUCAUGUCUGGUGCUCCCUUUAGUUUUCUGGCAAGAAGCUAGGGAGAAGGUGACUUGAGCUCCUCGUGUGUUUUGAUCACUCAACAAAGAAGACAAAAGGGCGUUUCAUAACCUGACAGUGGGAGAGCACAUUAAAAAGGAGCUGAGCUGACCUUUGCACUGUCUAUGAAGAAUGAGUUUCCUAAACUCAUCAUAGCAACAAGAUAUAACGGGGGUUAUUAAGCCACUAAAACUUUUUCUGAAUUCAUAUGCACUUUUUCCCAAAUAGAAUGCUGACGACAAAUAAUUUUAUCAAUCAUUAAAGAAGAUCCCUUCAGAACCUCUCCAGGGAAAUACUUGUAGCUUAGUUCUGGUUAGCACGUAAUGCCACAAGAAUCUGGCAUCAUUUAGACCAGCCAUUUAUUCAGAUAUCAAGAGCAAGAGACUGUAACUGAUUCCCUGACCUCUGACUAAAAACAAAUAUAAACAGUUCUGUGGACUAAAUGUUGUUUAUCCUGGGAAGGAUGUGGUUUUAUCACUGUUGCCCACAGUAACUGGUCAGCCCCUGUGUCUCAGAAGGGAGCUGAGAAGGCUUGAAAGGGUACACCUACCUGUCCUGGCUGAGCAAGAGGGCCAUCAGAGUGGAGACCACUGUUCCCAGCCAGCCAGUGAGAGCCCACCAGGGGUUCUGAACAAGAAGUCCUACCAGAAUCAGGAUUCCACUGACGGGGUUGUUGACGAACACCACUUGGGAUAUGCCCCGGAGAAUCCAGUCAAUGAACUGGAGCACCACGGGUUUGUCUGGAAGGGAUGAGGUAAAGCAGAGCUAAGGAAGCUGCCAAGUGAUACUCUUCAACCACAGGCCCACCCUGAGCAAAAUCAGCAAAACCUCCUGGAAGUGAAACAUUUUUGAUAUUUCUUUAAUAUUUCUCUCUCAACCCAUUGUUGCAUUAGUGGCACCCAGAUCCCUGAAAGCCUCUAUCUACUGUAUGCUCAACCCACACUGCCCCUCCUAGAAUCUAAGCUCCUGAAAGCAUCUAAUGCACUUAUUUUCAUGCUUAUAGGUACAAAUUCUGAAGCCAAAGGAAUAAAUUUAAGUUUUAAGUACUGAAACUACAGGAUGAAGCCAGGUGCCUUCUAAUAUGAGCUGGGCCCUGGCUACUGUCUCCAUAAGAAAAAAAAAUGGAGAGGUUUGCAGGUUAAAAGAUAAAAGUAGAAAAAUGGUGAGUAAAGAGAUCUAUAAAAAGUUGGAGAAUAUAACUAAAGGUAUAAGUAGAAGUACCAGGAAACCAUUUCCCCCAAAGCUACUUCUCCUGUCUCUCCAAAAUGUGAAAGGAUAAAUACCUUUAAGCUGGUUGGCAAGUUCUUUCAUGUCACCGGUGACAUAGCCAAGAGCUUUGGGGAA
rnacentral:lncRNA from 1 species